rnacentral:rRNA from 1 species
CCUACGGGAGGCAGCAGUGGGGAAUAUUGGGCAAUGGGCGCAAGCCUGACCCAGCAACGCCGCGUGAAGGAAGAAGGCUUUCGGGUUGUAAACUUCUUUUCUCAGGGACGAAGAAAGUGCCGGUCCCUGAGUAAUAAGCCACGGCUAACUACGUGCCAGCAGCAGCUGUAAUACGUAGGGGGCGAGCGUUAUCCGGAUUUGUUGGGUGUAAGGGUCUUGUCUGCGGGAGCGCAAGUCAGAUGUGAAAACUCAGGGAUCAACCCUGAGCCUGCAUUUGAAACUGGGUUCAUUGAGUGCUGGAGAGGCAAUCGGAAUUCCGUGUGUAGCGGUGAAAUGCGUAGAUAUACGGAGGAACACCAGUGGCGAAGGCGGAUUGCUGGACAGUAACUGACGCUGAGGCGCGAAAGCGUGGGGAGCAAACAGGAUUAGAUACCCGUGUAGUC